AUGGCUUCGUCGGAGAAGCUCCGGCCGAGCACCUCGCCGUCGGCCACCACCACCACCACCUCCUCCUCCACAAACCACGCCUCGUCGUUGGGUUACUUCCUGCCGGAGCUGAUCCCGUUGGUCGCGAGCCGCCUGACGACCCUCCAGGACUUCUUCGCCCUCCGCGCCGCCUGCCGCACCUACCGGGAACUCCUCCCGCUGUCGCCGGCCAACCUCGCCUCCCAGGGUCCGCUCCUCCUCUUCCCCCGCAUGGCCUCUGCCUCGGGGGCCCUCUUUCACGUCCCCCUCCGCCGCAUCCUCCGCUUCCGCCUCCCCUGCACGGACCACGGCCUCACCGAGUUCUACUCAUUCGGCUGCCGCGUCGCCAUCCAGGAUCGCGACCGCUAUCACACCCGCCGCGAGCUCCGCAUCCGCCACCUCCUCACAGGCGAGCGAGCCCGCCUGCCUGAUCCCUUGAAGCCAGAGAGACUACGAAGUAGUCCUCUUUUCCGGCGACCUCGUCGUCACCUUCAGGAAACUCUGCCGCGUCGUCUACUACUGCCACAUUGGGGACGCUCACUGGCGAGCAAUAAAUUGACUCUGCCGGAAGUUUAUUGUCCAAGGUUCUGGCUAGCAGAGCGGUGUGGUGAGUUAUUGGUCAUUGUAAGGGUGGAGUACAAUCCAUGGGUGUACAUUGUUUUCUAUCUGCAAUCCGGGGAGGGGAAGUGGGAGAGGACUACUAGCCUUGGUGGUUGCAGCUUGUUCUUUAAUUUGCAUGAGUUUGCCGGUUGCCUUGGUCCAGAUCAUCCGGCAGUUCGAAGGGACUGCUUGUACUUCACUGGGUGCUCUGGGAAGUGGAGCGAGUAUUCUUUGGUUGAUGGGUCUUAUCAUGAAUUCGUCAUCGACUGCCCAGGGCGAACAGAGGAUUGUGGAUCUCCUGUUUGGGUCCUUCCAAGCAUUUGCUGA
rnacentral:rRNA from 1 species